UACGGAGGGUGCGAGCGUUAAUCGGAAUAACUGGGCGUAAAGGGCACGCAGGCGGAUUUUUAAGUGAGGUGUGAAAUCCCCGGGCUUAACCUAGGAAUUGCAUUUCAGACUGGGGGUCUAGAGUACUUUAGGGAGGGGUAGAAUUCCAGGUGUAGCGGUGAAAUGCGUAGAGAUGUGGAGGAAUACCGAAGGCGAAGGCAGCCCACUGGGAAGAUACUGACGCUGAUGCGCGAAAGUGUGGGGAUCAAACAGG
rnacentral:rRNA from 1 species